CAGCAGCCGCGGUAAUACGGAGGGUGCAAGCGUUAAUCGGAAUUACUGGGCGUAAAGCGCACGCAGGCGGUCUAACAAGUCAGAUGUGAAAUCCCCGGGCUUAACCUGGGAACUGCAUUUGAAACUGUCAGGCUGGAGUCUUGUAGAGGGGGGUAGAAUUCCAGGUGUAGCGGUGAAAUGCGUAGAGAUCUGGAGGAAUACCGGUGGCGAAGGCGGCCCCCUGGACAAAGACUGACGCUCAGGUGCGAAAGCGUGGGGAGCAAACAGGAUUAGAUACCCCGGUAGUCCCUGUCUCUUAUAC
rnacentral:rRNA from 1 species